rnacentral:rRNA from 1 species
AUAUAAAAACAAACCCGUACCCUCCUUGACACGCUUGUUCUUGUCUAGUCUGAGAAACUAAGCCGGGUUAGGGCUCAGUUGGAAGACCACCUGGGACUACCAGGUCUUUUAAAUU